GGAGAGGUGGCUCAGCGGUUAAGAGCACUGACUGCUCUUUGAGAGGACCUGAGUUCAAUUCCCAGCUUCCA
rnacentral:tRNA from 1 species